rnacentral:rRNA from 1 species
GCAUAUCAAUAAGCGGAGGAAAAGAAACCAACAGGGAUUGCCUUAGUAACGGCGAGUGAAGCGGCAAAAGCUCAAAUUUGAAAUCGGCCACCAGGUCGAGUUGUAAUUUGUAGAUUGUAUCUUGAGAGCGGAUUAAAGUCUGUUGGAACACAGCGCCUUAGAGGGUGACAGCCCCGUAAAAUCUAUUCUCAUUGUAAGAUACUUUCGAAGAGUCGAGUUGUUUGGGAAUGCAGCUCUAAGUGGGAGGUAAAUUCCUUCUAAAGCUAAAUAUUGACGAGAGACCGAUAGCGAACAAGUACUGUGAAGGAAAGAUGAAAAGCACUUUGAAAAGAGAGUGAAAAAGUACGUGAAAUUGUUAAAAGGGAAGGGUAUUGAAUCAGACUUGGUGCUGUUGUUCAACUGUGUUUCGGCAUAGUGUACUCAGCAGUACUAGGCCAAGGUGGGGUGUUUGGGAGUGAAAAAGAAGUAGGAACGUAACUCUUCGGAGUGUUAUAGCCUACUUUCAUAGCUCCUCAGGCGCCUCAGGACUGCGCUUCGGCAAGGACUUUGGCAUAAUGAUUCUAUACCGCCCGUCUUGAAACACGGACCA